GGCGCAUUCGUCUAGCCCGGUUCAGGACGCCGCCCUCUCAAGGCGGUAACACGGGUUCAAAUCCCGUAUGCGCCACCA
rnacentral:tRNA from 1 species